rnacentral:lncRNA from 8 species
CUUAUCUCUACUUUACCUGUGGCGUACCAUCUCUACUUUACCUGUGGCCUGCCCAUCUCUACUUUACCUGUGGCGUGCCCAUCUCUACCUUACCUGUGGCGUACCCAUCUCUACUUUACCUGUGGCCUGCCCAUCUCUACUUUACCUGUGGCGUACCCAUCUCUACUUUACCUGUGGCCUGCCCAUAUCUACUUUACCUGUGGCGUGCCCGUCUCUACUUUACCUGUGGCGUACCCAUCUCUACUUGACCUGUGGCCUGCCCGUCUCUACUUUACCUGUGGCGUACCCAUCUCUACUUUACCUGUGGCGUGCCCGUCUCUACUUUACCUGUGGCCUGCCCAUCUCUACUUUACCUGUGGCCUGCCCAUCUCUACUUUACCUGUGGCGUACCCAUCUCUACUUUACCUGUGGCCUGCUCAUCUCUACAUUACCUGUGGCGUGCCCAUCUCUACUUUACCUGUGGCGUACCCAUCUCUACUUUACCUGUGGCCUGCCCAUCUCUACUUUACCUGUGGCGUGCCCGUCUCUACUAAACCUGUGGCGCGCCCGUCUCUACUUUACCUGUGGCCUGCCCAUCUCUACUUUACCUGUGGCCUGCCCAUCUCUACUUUACCUGUGGCCUGCCCAUCUCUACUUUACCUGUGGCAUGCCCAUCUCUACUUGACCUGUGGCCUGCCCAUCUCUACUUUACCUGUGGCCUGCCCAUCUCUACUUUACCUGUGGCGUGCCCGUCUCUACUUGACCUGUGGCGCGCCCAUCUCUACUUUACCUGUGGCCUGCCCAUCUCUACUUUACCUGUGGCCUGCCCAUCUCUACUUUACCUGUGGCCUGCCCAUCUCUACUUUACCUGUGGCAUGCCCAUCUCUACUUGACCUGUGGCCUGCCCAUCUCUACUUUACCUGUGGCCUGCCCAUCUCUACUUUACCUGUGGCGCGCCCGUCUCUACUUUACCUGUGGCCUGCCCAUCUCUACUUUACCUGUGGCCUGCCCAUCUCUACUUUACCUGUGGCCUGCCCAUCUCUACUUUACCUGUGGCCUGCCCAUCUCUACUUUGCCUGUGGCGUGCCCAUCUCUACUUUACCUGUGGCCUGCCCAUCUCUACUUUACCUGUGGCCUGCCCAUCUCUACUUUGCCUGUGGCGUGCCCAUCUCUACUUUACCUGUGGCGUGCUCGCUUGUUGUUUGGGAUAAGCUAUUCUGAAAUGUCAGUGACAUAAUAUGGCUGUGCUAUUUAAAAUGCAAUAUUAUUACCAAUUUUUUUUAUUGUAUCUCGUUUAGAGGUUUUUUUCUUCAUGUAAGGAUGGGC